rnacentral:rRNA from 1 species
CAAGUCGAGCGGACAGAUGGGAGCUUGCUCCCUGAUGUUAGCGGCGGACGGGUGAGUAACACGUGGGUAACCUGCCUGUAAGACUGGGAUAACUCCGGGAAACCGGGGCUAAUACCGGAUGGUUGUUUGAACCGCAUGGUUCAGACAUAAAAGGUGGCUUCGGCUACCACUUACAGAUGGACCCGCGGCGCAUUAGCUAGUUGGUGAGGUAACGGCUCACCAAGGCGACGAUGCGUAGCCGACCUGAGAGGGUGAUCGGCCACACUGGGACUGAGACACGGCCCAGACUCCUACGGGAGGCAGCAGUAGGGAAUCUUCCGCAAUGGACGAAAGUCUGACGGAGCAACGCCGCGUGAGUGAUGAAGGUUUUCGGAUCGUAAAGCUCUGUUGUUAGGGAAGAACAAGUGCCGUUCAAAUAGGGCGGCACCUUGACGGUACCUAACCAGAAAGCCACGGCUAACUACGUGCCAGCAGCCGCGGUAAUACGUAGGUGGCAAGCGUUGUCCGGAAUUAUUGGGCGUAAAGGGCUCGCAGGCGGUUUCUUAAGUCUGAUGUGAAAGCCCCCGGCUCAACCGGGGGAGGGUCAUUGGAAACUGGGGGAACUU